rnacentral:tRNA from 1 species
GUCCCGUUCGUCUAUCGGCUAGGACGGCACCCUUUCAAGGUGCAGAGACGAGUUCGACUCUCGUACGGGGCACCA